rnacentral:rRNA from 1 species
GAUGAACGCUAGCGGCAGGCCUAACACAUGCAAGUCGAGGGGUAGAACACUUCGGUGUUUGAGACCGGCGCACGGGUGCGUAACGCGUAUGCAAUCUACCUUGUACAGGGGAAUAGCCCAGAGAAAUUUGGAUUAAUGCCCCAUAGUAUAUAACCUUCGCAUGUUGGUUAUAUUAAAGUUCCAACGGUACAAGAUGGGCAUGCGUCCCAUUAGUUAGUUGGUAAGGUAACGGCUUACCAAGACGAUGAUGGGUAGGGGUCCUGAGAGGGAGAUCCCCCACACUGGUACUGAAACACGGACCAGACUCCUACGGGAGGCAGCAGUGAGGAAUAUUGGUCAAUGGGCGCAAGCCUGAACCAGCCAUUCCGCGUGCAGGAAGACGGUCCUAUGGAUUGUAAACUGCUUUUAUACAGGAAGAAACAACUCUACGUGUAGAGUCUUGACGGUACUGUAGGAAUAAGGAUCGGCUAACUCCGUGCCAACAGCCGCCGUAAAAC